AGAGGUGUAGCUCAGUGGCAGAGCACCCGCCUGGCAUGCGUAGGGCCCUGGGUUCAACGCCCAGUGCUCCCA
rnacentral:tRNA from 1 species